UUCCUUCUGGCUGGUCUUUCUCCUUGACACAGACAGAAGAGGGGUCCCUUGGUGCUGAAAAAGGAGCCACAGGCCCACUCAGACAUCUGGAGAGGCUCACUGGGGUUCUCCAAAGGUUGGGGUUCACUCAUUCAACACAUACAUUCAAAACACCUCAUUUGUGCAUCGCUCUUCUUGGGGCUUGGCAUCAUUUCAUAAACAAAGCAGAUGACAUCCCCCGGCCUUGAUUCUACUCAGAGUCAGGCACUCACAGUAGACAGAAUAAACAAGUCACAUCUACAGAAUGUUACAGGUGAGACCCUCAUGGCCUCCUCUACGUAUGGUGGCAUCCUCCCAGACUCUGACUAGAAUGACGCAGCCCAGCAACAAAUAUAAACCGGGUGGAUUUAGGGUUCUGAAGGGCCUUUUCACCCACAAAACAUGGGGGAAAAUAUGUGGACUCUGGCUGGGGAGAGACUAAAGGAGCCCUGGGGCUCAUACUUCUUAUAAUUCCCACGAGAAGGCUGACAUCUGGGGACUUCCCCCACAAGAGGCAAAAAGUGAGUUCUGUAAAUGGAGACUUAGGUCCCCUGCAAAGCAGAGGGGAGGCUGGGGUCACAGCUGGCCACUGAGUAGACCCAUCCCCCUCAGCACCGUGGCUUCCCAGCUCUCCCUGUCCUCCUCCCCCGCCGACAUCUGCCCCUUCCCUCCUAACCCCAGGACCAGGGGACCCAGAUCUGGAGCUUUGAUGAGGAAGCUGCUCACAAAUCUGCCUGCAGCUGCAGUCUUGAGUGCCCAGGUGUACAGUGCUGUGCUCCAGGGCCUUUGGGAAGAGAACGUCAGUGGGACGCCAGGGCUUAUGGGGGUCUGUACAGCCCUGCUGCAUGGGCAGGUCUGCCCCUUCCAGGACAGUACUGAUGGCUUGGAGUAGGGUGGAGCUGUCCUCUGCACAGGCAGCAAGAGGCCAGGGACCCAGAACCAUGCAAGGGUGCCCUGUAGGGUUGUGUGGGAGAAGACCAGGCCUCUGACUCAGCUGUCCACUCCAUCACCAGCACCACCACCUCCAUUUUGUUCACCUGGCCAGCUGAAAACUCUUCAGGUUGCUAUCAGUCCCUGCAACAGUCAUCUUUCUGGAUAAAGCUGGCCUUCAAGAACUUUGCCUGGCCUGGACUGGGCUUGGAGGACCAUCAGGAAAUUGUCCUAGGCCAGUUGGUGCUUCCGGAGCCCAACGAGGCCAAGCCAGAUGAUCCUGCUCCACGUCCUGGGCAACACGCAUUAACAAUGCCGGCCCUGGAGCCAGCACCACCACUGCUGGCGGACCUGGGGCCUGCUCUGGAGCCAGAGUCACGUGCAGCCCUGGGUGCGCCCGGGUAUCUACAUUCAGCACCAGGGCCAGCACCAGCACCAGCAGCAGGGGAAGGGCCCCCUCCAGGGACAGUGCUGGAGCCACAGUCAGCCCCAGAGUCCUCCUGUCCCUGUCGCGGGUCUGUAAAGAACCAACCCAGUGAGGAGCUGCCUGACAUGACGACCUUCCCUCCCAGGCUGCUGGCAGAGCAGCUGACCCUCAUGGAUGCGGAGCUGUUCAAGAAGGUGGUGCUCUACGAAUGCUUGGGCUGCAUCUGGGGCCAACGACAUCCGAAGGGGAAUGAGCACAUGGCACCCACAGUUCGUGCCACCAUCGCACACUUCAACAGGCUCACCAACUGCAUCACCACCUCCUGCCUCGGGGACCACAGCAUGAGGGCCCGGGACAGGGCCAGGGUGGUGGAGCACUGGAUCAAGGUGGCCAGGGAGUGCCUAAGCCUCAACAACUUCUCCUCGGUGCACGUCAUCGUCUCUGCUCUGCGCAGCAACCCAAUAGGUCAGCUACACAAGACGUGGGCAGGAGUGUCCAGCAAAAGCAUGAAAGAGCUAAAAGAACUCUGCAAAAAAGACACUGCAGUGAAGAGGGACCUGCUGAUCAAGGCGGGGAGCUUUAAGGUGGCCACCCAGGAGAGGAACCCCCAGAGAGCCCAGAUGAGGCUGCGGAGGCAGAAGAAGGGUGUGGUCCCCUUCCUGGGGGAUUUUCUGACUGAGUUACAGAGGCUGGAUUCGGCCAUCCCGGACGACCUGGAUGGCAACACCAACAAGAGGAGCAAGGAGGUCCGAGUUCUGCAGGAAAUGCAGCUGCUCCAAGUGGCUGCCAUGAAUUACAGGCUUCGGCCUCUUGAGAAAUUUGUCACCUAUUUCACAAGAAUGGAGCAGCUCAGUGACAAAGAGAGAUGGGGUUUCACGAUGAUGUCCAGGAUGGUCUCAAACUCCUGGCCUCAAGCAAUCCACCCACCUCAGCCUCCCAAAGUACUGACGUUACAGGUGUGAGCCAUCCCACCUGGCCUAGAGAAGGCUCUCCCGUGGCCAGCUGCAGAGAGCCUAUGGCCAUGACUCCACGGCCAGCAUCAAGCCCUGUUGCAUGGGGACCACUGGGGACCCAGGAUUCCAGCUGGGCAGGCACUGACAGGGGACCUGAUGUGUGGCUCAUGGUGGCCUCACAGCUGCUUCUCUGUCCUGCAGCUACAAGCUGUCCUGCCAGCUGGAGCCCGAAAACCCGUAGGCCGGCAACAUCCUGCAGUAGCUGGGAACCCACCGGGAUGCUGGCCAGAACACCGGCUCUGCACCAUCCCUCACCCAGACCGUAGACACCAGGGA
rnacentral:sRNA from 1 species